rnacentral:rRNA from 1 species
UACGGAGGGUGCGAGCGUUGUCCGGAAUCAGCUGGGCGUAAAGGCGCGUAGGCGGCCUGAUAAGUAGGGGGUGAAAUCCUGCGGCUUAACCGCAGGGCUGCCUUCUAAACUGUCAGGCUAGAGCACAGUAGAGGCAGGUGGAAUUCCCGGUGUAGCGGUGGAAUGCGUAGAGAUCGGGAAGAACAUCAGUGGCGAAGGCGGCCUGCUGGGCUGUUGCUGACGCUGAGGCGCGACAGCGUGGGGAGCAAACAGG